CUCCGGCCCGCAUUGUAAUUUGCAGAGGAUGCUUUUGGCGAGGUGCCUUCCGAGUUCCCUGGAACGGGACGCCAUAGAGGGUGAGAGCCCCGUAUGGAUGGACACCAGACCUGUGUAAAGCUCCUUCAACGAGUCGAGUAGUUUGGGAAUGCUGCUCUAAAUGGGAGGUAAAUCUCUUCUAAAGCUAAAUACCGGCCAGAGACCGAUAGCGCACAAGUAGAGUGAUCGAAAGAUGAAAAGCACCUUGAAAAGGGGGUUAAACAGUACGUGAAAUUGUUGAAAGGGAAGCAUUUAUGACCAGACUUGCGCCGGGCAGCUCAUCAGGGGUUCUCCCCUGUGCACUCUGCCCGGCUCAGGCCAGCAUCGGUUCUCGUGGGAGGAUAAGAACAGUGGGAACGUGGCCCCCCUCCGGGGGGGUGUUAUAGCCCAUUGUACGAUACUCUCGUGGGGACCGAGGUUCGCGCUCCGCAAGGAUGCUGGC
rnacentral:rRNA from 1 species